CAGUAGCCGCGGUAAUACGUAGGGUGCGAGCGUUAACCGGAAUUACUGGGCGUAAAGGGCUCGCAGGCGGUUUCUUAAGUCUGAUGUGAAAGCCCCCGGCUCAACCGGGGAGGGUCAUUGGAAACUGGGAAACUUGAGUGCAGAAGAGGAGAGUGGAAUUCCACGUGUAGCGGUGAAAUGCGUAGAGAUGUGGAGGAACACCAGUGGCGAAGGCGACUCUCUGGUCUGUAACUGACGCUGAGGAGCGAAAGCGUGGGGAGCGAACAGGAUUAGAUACCCCUGUAGUCCCUGUCUCUUAUAC
rnacentral:rRNA from 1 species